AUGUACCUCAUAGUUGGGUUGUACCUUCCUCAGGUGUCAAAUGUGAUGCUGUACGUCGUUCAAAUCUUACCUCCAUCUCGGUACAACGAGAAGGAGUUUACUAUGGUCAGUGCAGUGAGAUUCGUGGAACUAAUCAUGCCUUUACGCCUAUUGUCGUAG
rnacentral:rRNA from 1 species